rnacentral:rRNA from 1 species
UACGUAGGGGGCUAGCGUUGUCCGGAUUUAUUGGGCGUAAAGAGCGUGUAGGCGGCUUUACAGGUCCGUUGUGAAAACUCGAGGCUCAACCUCGAGACGCCGGUGGAAACCGUAAAGCUAGAGUCCGGAAGAGGAGAGUGGAAUUCCUGGUGUAGCGGUGAAAUGCGCAGAUAUCAGGAGGAACACCCGUGGCGAAAGCGGCUCUCUGGGACGGUACUGACGCCGAGACGCGAAAGCGUGGGGAGCAAACAGG